rnacentral:rRNA from 1 species
UUCAGACGAUGCGUCAUGCAUAUCAAUAAGCGGAGGAAAAGAAACUAACAAGGAUUCCCUUAGUAACGGCGAGUGAAGCGGGAAGAGCUCAAAUUUGAAAUCUUCAAGGCUUUUACCUUGACGAAUUGUAGUUUAAAGAAGUGUUUUCUGUUGAAGUUUUGGUAAAAGUUCUUUGGAAUAGGACAUCAUAGAGGGUGAGAAUCCCGUAUUUGACCAUUAUUUUCAGCUGUGUGAUACACUUUUCAAAGAGUCGGAUUGUUUGGGAAUGCAGUCCAAAAUGGGUGGUAAAUUUCAUCUAAAGCUAAAUAUUGGCGAGAGACCGAUAGCGAACAAGUACCGUGAGGGAAAGAUGAAAAGAACUUUGAAAAGAGAGUUAAACAGUACGUGAAAUUGUCAAAAGGGAAGCGUUUGACACCAGUGUUGUUUUCUCGAAAAUCAAUUAAAAAUGGCUCGAUUUUGUAUUGCUGAGACCUUAAAAGUUCACUGUACAUUUUUCGUGUCUUUUUUAAUGCACUUUUCGUUUAACAAGUCAACAUCAGUUUCUUUUGUUGUAAAAGGGUCAUUGGAAGGUGGCUUUCUUUUCGGAGAAAGUGUUUAUAGCCUUUGGCCUCUGCAAUCGGAGAGACUGAGGUCUGCAGCGUAGACUCUUCGGGGUUAGAUACAUUUGUGCUAAGUUAAUAGCUUUUUAUAGACAACUUGUUGACUAUGAUUAGUCUUGUAGCUUACUCGCUUAUGCUAUUUUACCUACGCUUAGGAUGUUGAGUCGUAGAGCACGCAG